rnacentral:lncRNA from 1 species
UGAACAUAGAAAAUGAUAGUGCGAGUGGGGCAUUCGUGUACUAUGGACACAUUCUUGUUUCUCUAUAAAAUUGGGUUCGAAUUUCAAAGAAUUUAAAAAAAAAUAUUUUUUUGACCCUGAGCAUCAUCGAUCACUCAAGAGACAUUAAUUGUUGAAAUGUGUCACUGCUGUAGUAAAAUUGAUACCUUUACUGUUAUUAGAAAUGUAAAAUUUAAUGUUGAACCAAAGGAUAAAAAGUCACAAAGAGAGGCCUAGCCAGAAAGAGAAUCUAAAAAUUAAUUUAAUGUGGCUAAUAAGAUGUUUUAUAUGUAUAUAUAUUUAUAAUGGUGCUAUCUGUUUUUUUUUGUUUCAUGUUAGUUUUAGAUAUUCUAAGAAUUUACAUGCAAAUCAGUUUUAAUAAAUUCACUUGCCAAGCUAAACAACAAACUUUUUAAAUUGUUGUCCUUUAAAGGCAAGAAUCAUUUUAUGUUGAUCAUUAUUGAUGAUUAACGGUUGCAUCGUUCAUUGUUUUUGAAUAUACAUUUUUGUAUAUAGAUACUUUUUGCUUGCUGGGUAUCUACAUUUUGGGUUUACACAAUGACAGAUUUCCCCAGUAAAUGAUAGAUAUUAUUUAUCCUUGAUUCUGGUGAUUGUACUUUUUUUGUAACCUGUAAUGAAUUUCACAGAAUGUUCAAUAAAAAAUCCUAAUUCAUGGUUUGAUGACGGCAUAAAAAUCUGUAAAAUAUUUGUCAUUAGAUUUUUUUUUUUCAUUUUAUUGAGUCAGAC